AUCCUUCGGUUCAUGAAUGUGAUGAUCGGAUUAAUCACGGACUGAUCCGUGAUAGGUGCUGCCUCACUUGUUACGCUGUGCGCCUCAGCCGUUCUGAUC